AGGCGGGGCCGGCCCCGGGGAGCUCAGGUGCAGACGAUGCAGCUGAGGGAGAGGAAGGGGUGGAGACAGGAUCCACCCCUUCCCAGCCCUCAUUUAAGGGCCGGCAGGGGAGGAGAGAGCCUCUCUCUCAGGAGGUGCCUGCCUGCCCGUGGCCUUCUGUAGAUGGUGCUGAAGGAUGAGGAACCGUCGACUCCUCAGGGGUAGAAAGGUUUGGCUGCAACAUCUCCAUACAGCAGCAGGCAGCACGUUCACCCACCGCAUGAAGUUGGCCGAGACCAAGCAUGGGACAGGCUGGCCCAGGAGUCCGCAUCGCCUGAGGCGUUCCAGGAAAGGAGCAGGACCUAUUUCCAUCGGCCGCAUCAGGCUUCGCUCUCCACUCGGGACAAAGCUCCGCAGGAACCGACUCACCGAGGUUGGACG